rnacentral:snoRNA from 1 species
AUCCCAUGAUUUGGACACUUCCUCAUCAACUCCUUAAAUCUGUUCCAUGCCUCGUGAUAGCUCUCCCCAUCUCUCUGUUGAAAAGUUUCGAAUUUUCAGUUUGAUUUU